AGUCCAAAGUGAACUCGGAUUGGUAUCACAUGCAAAAAUAAACAAAUUAGCAGGGGGGCUCCACUUUCUCAAAAUUUAACAAAAAAUGCACUCUAGACUAUCAAGUAGCACAGCUAAAUAGCAUUAAAGGCAAAGACCGUGUACUCCAAUAGACAAUUAUUCUUAAAUAAUGGAGAACCCAAUGUAUGAGCAAGAAGACGACACUUAAAUCUUUCAUGCCACACAUUCAAAUUAAUAUAGGAACUCAAGUCAACUUAACACAAAAAUAUAAAAUAAAAUUUAAUCACCAAGUAUAGAUUGAUCACAGAAUCAUAAAUAUCUAAUGACAAAAAGGCAUAUCACAAAGUUUAUAAAGAAAAACAAAGACCAGGACUUCCUUUUCUCAAGAUAAGGACCACACCUUUUCAGUGGCAUUGUUGCCCAAAUUUAGUAAAAGACAUUACAGACAAAUUUGUCUUAUACUACAGAUGCACCUACUUAAAGGAAAACAAACUUUGACAAGACCAAGCUUCAAAGGGAUUAGAAGAGAUCGAGAAAAUGAGAAAGCCAACAUGCCAGGAUGAUCCUAAAAAGAGAGCAAGACAACGAAAUUUGAAAAAAAAUAGAACAAAAGACAGAGUAAACUAGAAUCUGGAUAGUAAUAUGACUUCCCACCUUAUGAGCUCAGUUCUACAAAUGGUAAGCACUUUCAACUGAAAACUUGGGCAUAUAGAAACAUAAAUUCGAUUCAAACAAGACAUGAUAAGCAGUAGAAUGAUCAGAGGAUUUAUAAACAAAGAAAAACGAAAUACUAUAUCAGCAAGCCAUAGACGAAACAACAUACAAGUUCCACAUCAAUUCGCUAAAGAUUCUGCCCCCUAUUCACUGUCACGAUUCGAAGGAAAUCGGAAAUAAAGAAAAUUAUACCAACGGGAAGAGCUGAAUACACUUAAGACAGAACUUACAGCCAACGUUAAUCAUACAACACACAUGAAUCUCAUCUCGAAGACGGAAAAGAGACAAAAACAUUAUGAAAGAGAGAGCAUUUUACCUUUUCGAGGGCAGCGAGCUGAGACUAGACGAGUAAGAGAUCAGCGAGCUUCCACGACUUCAAACACAACUCCGGUAAACACACGUGAACAGAGAAAUGAUGCAAAGACUCAAACCCAGAUUGAACUCUCACUCUCUCAGCUUAGUAUCCCAAAUAUUUAUCUAUGAAUCUCUAUAGCUAGUAGUUUCUUUGUAUUUAUCUCGAAUUCUCCCUA
rnacentral:lncRNA from 1 species